UCGGGAAUUUUGGGCAAUGGGCGAAAGCCUGACCCAGCAACGCCGCGUGAAGGAUGAAGUAUUUCGGUAUGUAAACUUCGAAAGAAUAGGAAGAAUAAAUGACGGUACUAUUUAUAAGGUCCGGCUAACUUCGUGCCAGCAGCCGCGGUAAUACGAAGGGGGCUAGCGUUGUUCGGAUUUACUGGGCGUAAAGCGCGUGUAGGCGGGUCGUUAAGUUGGGGGUGAAAUCCCGAGGCUCAACCUCGGAACUGCCUUCAAAACUGGCGACCUGGACUCAAGUAGAGGCAAGUGGAAUUGCGAGUGUAGAGGUGAAAUUCGUAGAUAUUCGCAGGAACACCAGUGGCGAAGGCGACUUGCUGGACUUGUAGUGACGCUGAGACGCGAAAGCGUGGGGAGCAAACAGGAUUAGAUACCCCCGUAGUCCCUGAGCGGGCUGGCAAGGCGCAU
rnacentral:rRNA from 1 species